GGGGACGUGGCGGAAUCGGUAGACGCGCACGCUUCAGGAGCGUGUGGAUUACAUCCAUGAGAGUUCGACUCUCUCCGUCCCCA
rnacentral:tRNA from 1 species